rnacentral:rRNA from 1 species
GACGAACGCUGGCGGCGUGCUUAACACAUGCAAGUCGAACGGAAAGGCCCUGCUUUUGUGGGGUGCUCGAGUGGCGAACGGGUGAGUAACACGUGAGUAACCUGCCCUUGACUUUGGGAUAACUUCAGGAAACUGGGGCUAAUACCGGAUAGGAGCUCCUGCUGCAUGGUGGGGGUUGGAAAGUUUCGGCGGUUGGGGAUGGACUCGCGGCUUAUCAGCUUGUUGGUGGGGUAGUGGCUUACCAAGGCUUUGACGGGUAGCCGGCCUGAGAGGGUGACCGGCCACAUUGGGACUGAGAUACGGCCCAGACUCCUACGGGAGGCAGCAGUGGGGAAUAUUGCACAAUGGGCGGAAGCCUGAUGCAGCAACGCCGCGUGCGGGAUGACGGCCUUCGGGUUGUAAACCGCUUUCGCCUGUGACGAAGCGUGAGUGACGGUAAUGGGUAAAGAAGCACCGGCUAACUACGUGCCAGCAGCCGCGGUGAUACGUAGGGUGCGAGCGUUGUCCGGAUUUAUUGGGCGUAAAGGGCUCGUAGGUGGUUGAUCGCGUCGGAAGUGUAAUCUUGGGGCUUAACCCUGAGCGUGCUUUCGAUACGGGUUGACUUGAGGAAGGUAGGGGAGAAUGGAAUUCCUGGUGGAGCGGUGGAAUGCGCAGAUAUCAGGAGGAACACCAGUGGCGAAGGCGGUUCUCUGGGCCUUUCCUGACGCUGAGGAGCGAGAGCGUGGGGAGCGAACAGGCUUAGAUACCCUGGUAGUCCACGCUGUAAACGGUGGGUACUAGGUGUGGGGUCCAUUCCACGGGUUCCGUGCCGUAGCUAACGCUUUAAGUACCCCGCCUGGGGAGUACGGCCGCAAGGCUAAAACUCAAAGGAAUUGACGGGGCCCCGCACAAGCGGCGGAGCAUGCGGAUUAAUUCGAUGCAACGCGUAGAACCUUACCUGGGUUUGACAUGGAUCGGGAGUGCUCAGAGAUGGGUGUGCCUCUUUUGGGGUCGGUUCACAGGUGGUGCAUGGCUGUCGUCAGCUCGUGUCGUGAGAUGUUGGGUUAAGUCCCGCAACGAGCGCAACCCUUGUUCACUGUUGCCAGCACGUUAUGGUGGGGACUCAGUGGAGACCGCCGGGGUCAACUCGGAGGAAGGUGGGGAUGACGUCAAGUCAUCAUGCCCCUUAUGUCCAGGGCUUCACGCAUGCUACAAUGGCUGGUACAGAGAGUGGCGAGCCUGUGAGGGUGAGCGAAUCUCGGAAAGCCGGUCUCAGUUCGGAUUGGGGUCUGCAACUCGACCUCAUGAAGUCGGAGUCGCUAGUAAUCGCAGAUCAGCAACGCUGCGGUGAAUAAGUUCCCGGG